UUCUCUCUCAAAUUUUUUUGUUUUACAAUUAUUUUUUCUCAUGAUUCUCUAUAAAUAUUUUUAUGUUCAAUAUUUGUUUUGGAUCUUGGGCCGACACAAUCGAUUUCUUCUGUGUAGCAUGCCAUUUUACAGGACAUCGGAGCUAAAGAUUUUAAAAUUGGUGGUUCGUGUGUUUAUGGUUCUAUAUGAUAUUAGGGCUAUAGAAUUAAAGAAUGGUUGAGUAGUUUGUGAUUUUGAUUAGAUUUAUUUGAAGUUCAAUUUUUGGAACAACAAUAUGAUUAUUGGUGGCUCCCGUGUUUGUAGUUCGGCAUGAUUGAAGAGCUUCCAAUAAUUCAUCUUACAAUAGUGCAAGUGUAUGGACUCUUAUUUUGAUGAUUCAAAAAAUAAAUUAUUAU
rnacentral:lncRNA from 1 species